CGCAAGGUUGAAACUCAAAGGAAUUGACGGGGGCCCGCACAAGCGGUGGAGCAUGUGGUUUAAUUCGAAGCAACGCGAAGAACCUUACCCGGUCUUGACAUCCAUGGAAUCCUUCAGAGAUGAGGGAGUGCCGGUUUACCGGAGCCAUGAGACAGGUGCUGCAUGGCUGUCGUCAGCUCGUGUCGUGAGAUGUUGGGUUAAGUCCCGNCAACGAGCGCAACCCCUGCUUCCAGUUACCAUCAUUAAGUUKGGGACUCUGGAAGGACCGCUGCGGUAACAACGCAGAGGAAGAUGGGGACGACGUCAAGUCAUCAUGGUCCUUAUGUCCGGGGCUACACACGUGCUACAAUGGUAGUUACAGAGGGUUGCGAAGCCGUAAGGUGGAGCGAAUCCCAGAAAAGCUACCCAAGUUCGGAUUGAGGUCUGCAACUCGGCCUCAUGAAGCUGGAAUCGCUAGUAAUCGCGUAACAUCAUGACGCGGUGAAUACGUUCCCGGGCCUUGUACACACCGCCCGUCAAGUCAGCCGAGUGGAGUGCACCCGAAGAAGGUGAGCUAACCCGCCAAGGGGAUGCAGCUUUCGAAGGUGUKCWUCGUWWKKAKGACUAAGUCGUAACAAGGUAGCCGUACCGGAAGGUGCGGCUGGAUCACCUCCUUUUUAAGGUGUUACACAAAAUGACAAGAGAAACUUAUCACAUUCCCCCCUAUAAAAUGGGGAAUUAGCUCAGCUGGAAGAGCGCCGCCCUUGCAAGGCGGAGGUCGUCGGUUCGAACCCGUCAUUCUCCACCAUUAAAUCAUAAUGUUCAUUUUACAUAGAAUAUUGAUACUGAUCUUUGAAAUUACAUAGAGUGUUUCCGUUAGUGAGAGAGAGAGUACAACACAGAGAUACUAGAAAUUGGUGAAAGCACAAAGGGCACAUGGUGGAUGCCUACGCACCAAAUGGCGAUGAAGGACGUGGCGAACUGCGAUAAGCCUCGGUGAGCUGUAAGCGAGCUUAGACCCGGGGAUUUCCGAAUGGGGCAACCC
rnacentral:sRNA from 1 species